ensembl:lncRNA
CUGAAACCAUUUCAUGCUGACUGAUAACCCUUCUCUUUCUUCAGUAUCUAAUAUAUCAGGAUGGUUGUGUUCUGGACACAGAAAUAACUGGUAUAACUACUGAAAACCAGACUCCUUUAUGCCUACCUUUGUGCUUCCAUCCCAGUAGCCUUGGUCCACAAGAAAAAGAACUGCAUGAAUGGUGGUGAAAUCUUUGCUCCUUGUGUGGGAUAAUAAGAAUGUAAUGCUAAGAAGUGAUAAAUAUUUCAUCUCGCAGUGAACAAACAAAAACUCCAGGAAGGUCUCACAGUCAGCCUAGAUGUGUUUUCCAAUUCUGUAUUGAGACUGCCACUUCAGUCUUUGAAGAAGCUGACCUAUUCAACCUAGUUAGUGUAAUACUCUGAUUCAUUCGACUUACAGUAUUACAGGUCUGCUAUUACAGUGGAGGGAUUUUGUUUCCCUGACCCCUGCCUAGAAGUUCAGGAACAUGAGAGAUGUGUGAAGCCUGACUGCCAGCAAAGGCUAAGGCUUCCAGCCAGCCAUGGGAUGUGAAAGCAGCUGUGGGAGAGCAACUUGCAGUGACAUUUUUUAACCAUCCCUGGAGAACUGCGUCCAGUUCUGGAGCACCCAAUACAAGAAGGACAUGGAGUUGUUGGAGCAGGUCCAGAGAAGGACCAUGAAGAUAACCAGAGGGCUGGAGCACCUCCCUGUGAGGACAGGCUGACAGAGUUGGAGUUGUUCAUCCUGGAGAAGACCACUUGAAAUGGCCUUCCCGUACCUGAAGGGGAGCUGCAGGAAAGCUGGGAAGGGACUUUUUUAAGGGCAUGUAGUGUCAGGACAAGAAGAAAUGGUUUUAAACUGGAAGAGAGUAGAUUUAGACUAGAUAUUAGGAAGAAAUUCUUUACUUUGAGGGUGAUGAGACACUGGAACAGGUUGUCCAGUGAGGCUAUGGAUGCUUUGUCCCUGGAAGCAUUCAAGGCCAGGCUGGACUUGUCUUAGAGCAACCUGGUCUAAAGGGAGCUGUCCUUUCAACACAAACCAUUUUAUGAUUCUAUUAUGCUAUGAUUCUAUGAACUGAAAACAACUUUGAAACAUUUUAAGCAUUGUUAAUGCCUGUGGUUACGGCAGUUUCAGUAGUUUUUACUACCAAAAAUUUAUCCCUAAAUGGGCUGGAAGUAGCUGGUGCCCCAGAAAAGAUAAGUCGGAAGAAGAAGAAGAAAGUAUAUUUUAAUUUUAUGCUGGUCGUAGGUAGAGGGAUAGUUAAGAAUAAAUUGUAAAUAGUGUAAUAGUACCCUGUGAAUGCUGUAACCUAACCAAUAGAUAAGAUUUGCAGAAGCUCAUAGCCUUUCAAAUUAAAGACUUCAGCACUGCAUAAAACUGGAGCCUUAACCUCCAGUUUUUGUGACAUUUUUACAACUGUUUUGUUUGCAUGUCCUUAUUCCUUUAAUCUCCCAUUAUCUUCCUCCUACCCAAAGCAAACUUGUAGAAGACCAUCCUCCAUGUUUACAUACCAGUAGUAUCUGAUGCCCUGGAAGUUCUUGCUCCCCAGGAUUUGAAAAUAUAUAAUUUGAGGAAUAAUACAACACCACGACAGAAACUCCAAGAAAU